rnacentral:other from 1 species
GUCAUCCUGAAGUGUUUGUCGGAUAAUGUAAUUCAACCUACGCAUGUUCACAGGGAAUUCGUGUUUUUUGCAUUAUGGCAAGCCCGUCCUACGGGAAGUCAAACCGCAAAAGUAGAUAUCCCACCUAUUUAAAGAUAGGGCGUGAAUUAUAUUCCGACGGCAGUUUCGGGAUUUUU